UACAGAGGUUGCAAACGUUGUUCGGAAUCACUGGGCAUAAAGCGCACGUAGGCGGUCUGUUAAGUCAGGUGUGAAAGCCCCCGGCUCAACCGGGGAAUUGCAUUUGAUACUGGCAGGCUCGAGAACGGUAGGGGUGAGUGGAACUCCAGGUGGAGCGGUGAAAUGCGUAGAUAUCUGGAGGAACACCGGUGGCGAAAGCGGCUCACUGGACCGUCACUGACGCUGAGGUGCGAAAGCUAGGGUAGCAAACGGG
rnacentral:rRNA from 1 species